ACCUUUUGUAUAAUGGGUCAGCGACUUAUAUUCUGUAGCAAGGUUAACCGAAUAGGGGAGCCGAAGGGAAACCGAGUCUUAACUGGGCGUUAAGUUGCAGGGUAUAGACCCGAAACCCGGUGAUCUAGCCAUGGGCAGGUUGAAGGUUGGGUAACACUAACUGGAGGACCGAACCGACUAAUGUUGAAAAAUUAGCGGAUGACUUGUGGCUGGGGGUGAAAGGCCAAUCAAACCGGGAGAUAGCUGGUUCUCCCCGAAAGCUAUUUAGGUAGCGCCUCGUGAAUUCAUCUCCGGGGGUAGAGCACUGUUUCGGCAAGGGGGUCAUCCCGACUUACCAACCCGAUGCAAACUGCGAAUACCGGAGAAUGUUAUCACGGGAGGCACACGGCGGGUGCUAACGUCCGUCGUGAAGAGGGAAACAACCCAGACCGCCAGCUAAGGUCCCAAAGUCAUGGUUAAGUGGGAAACGAUGUGGGAAGGCCCAGACAGCCAGGAUGUUGGCUUAGAAGCAGCCAUCAUUUAAAGAAAGCGUAAUAGCUCACUGGUCGAGUCGGCCUGCGCGGAAGAUGUAACGGGGCUAAACCAUGCACCGAAGCUGCGGCAGCGACGCUUAUGCGUUGUUGGGUAGGGGAGCGUUCUGUAAGCCUGUGAAGGUGUACUGUGAGGUAUGCUGGAGGUAUCAGAAGUGCGAAUGCUGACAUAAGUAACGAUAAAGCGGGUGAAAAGCCCGCUCGCCGGAAGACCAAGGGUUCCUGUCCAACGUUAAUCGGGGCAGGGUGAGUCGACCCCUAAGGCGAGGCCGAAAGGCGUAGUCGAUGGGAAACAGGUUAAUAUUCCUGUACUUGGUGUUACUGCGAAGGGGGGACGGAGAAGGCUAUGUUGGCCGGGCGACGGUUGUCCCGGUUUAAGCGUGUAGGCUGGUUUUCCAGGCAAAUCCGGAAAAUCAAGGCCGAGGCGUGAUGACGAGGCACUACGGUGCUGAAGCAACAAAUGCCCUGCUUCCAGGAAAAGCCUCUAAGCAUCAGGUAACAUCAAAUCGUACCCCAAACCGACACAGGUGGUCAGGUAGAGAAUACCAAGGCGCUUGAGAGAACUCGGGUGAAGGAACUAGGCAAAAUGGUGCCGUAACUUCGGGAGAAGGCACGCUGAUACGUAGGUGAAGCGACUUGCUCGUGGAGCUGAAAUCAGUCGAAGAUACCAGCUGGCUGCAACUGUUUAUUAAAAACACAGCACUGUGCAAACACGAAAGUGGACGUAUACGGUGUGACGCCUGCCCGGUGCCGGAAGGUUAAUUGAUGGGGUUAGCGCAAGCGAAGCUCUUGAUCGAAGCCCCGGUAAACGGCGGCCGUAACUAUAACGGUCCUAAGGUAGCGAAAUUCCUUGUCGGGUAAGUUCCGACCUGCACGAAUGGCGUAAUGAUGGCCAGGCUGUCUCCACCCGAGACUCAGUGAAAUUGAACUCGCUGUGAAGAUGCAGUGUACCCGCGGCAAGACGGAAAGACCCCGUGAACCUUUACUAUAGCUUGACACUGAACAUUGAGCCUUGAUGUGUAGGAUAGGUGGGAGGCUUUGAAGUGUGGACGCCAGUCUGCAUGGAGCCGACCUUGAAAUACCACCCUUUAAUGUUUGAUGUUCUAACGUGGACCCGUAAUCCGGGUUGCGGACAGUGUCUGGUGGGUAGUUUGACUGGGGCGGUCUCCUCCUAAAGAGUAACGGAGGAGCACGAAGGUUGGCUAAUCCUGGUCGGACAUCAGGAGGUUAGUGCAAUGGCAUAAGCCAGCUUGACUGCGAGCGUGACGGCGCGAGCAGGUGCGAAAGCAGGUCAUAGUGAUCCGGUGGUUCUGAAUGGAAGGGCCAUCGCUCAACGGAUAAAAGGUACUCCGGGGAUAACAGGCUGAUACCGCCCAAGAGUUCAUAUCGACGGCGGUGUUUGGCACCUCGAUGUCGGCUCAUCACAUCCUGGGGCUGAAGUAGGUCCCAAGGGUAUGGCUGUUCGCCAUUUAAAGUGGUACGCGAGCUGGGUUUAGAACGUCGUGAGACAGUUCGGUCCCUAUCUGCCGUGGGCGCUGGAGAACUGAGGGGGGCUGCUCCUAGUACGAGAGGACCGGAGUGGACGCAUCACUGGUGUUCGGGUUGUCAUGCCAAUGGCACUGCCCGGUAGCUAAAUGCGGAAGAGAUAAGUGCUGAAAGCAUCUAAGCACGAAACUUGCCCCGAGAUGAGUUCUCCCUGACCCUUUAAGGGUCCUGA
rnacentral:rRNA from 1 species